CGCUCUUAGUUCAGUCCGGUAGAACGCAGGUCUCCAAAACCUGAUGUCGUAGGUUCAAAUCCCACAGGGCGUG
rnacentral:tRNA from 1 species